AUCAAACACUCAUUUUAUUAAAAUAAAAUGCAUUUUAUAUAAAUAUCUUCAUCAAGGAAUUAUACACGGAAGGGCCAAGCGGUCGUUGGGAGUGGACGAAGGUAUGUUUUCUUAAAUACAAAGUAUAAAUAUCUGUACACAAUGCAGCUAAAUAUUAGAGCAGCGGGAUGGCGCCUCCUGGUGGUCACCCAAAGUGCUUCAGUCGGGUGGUUCAUUUUCCUCUGCUCUCAGCUCUGAGGAAGUAUGAGGCAAAGGAAAGAGAAUGUGGGGGAGGGGCAGAGAAAACGGGAGGGAAGGGAGAAUAGGGGACGGGGGAGAGGAGAGAGAUUCAGUAGUCCACAAUAGUACAAUACUACUUGGUAGGGUAGAGGAGGGGAGAUGAUGUGAGGGGUUUGGGGGGGAUCGCACUUCUGUCUCUCCAAACCCCUCACUGUCAUUUUAUUUAGGGCCAGAUGCUGUAACUCUUCUGGGUGUCAGAGUCUUGUGCCUUUGGGCUCCUCCAAGGUGUUGCCCUUUUUUGCUCCAUAGGAAAAGACCGCACCGAAGAUAUCCUCAUGAUAACGUUUCUGGCU